UGGCCUACGGGAGGCAGCAGUGAGGAAUAUUGGUCAAUGGGCGGGAGCCUGAACCAGCCAAGUCGCGUGAGGGAAGACGGUCCUAUGGAUUGUAAACCUCUUUAGGCGGGGAGCAAUGCCGGGCACGUGUGCCCGGAGGGAGAGUACCCGCAGAAUAAGCAUCGGCUAACUCCGUGCCAGCAGCCGCGGUAAUACGGAGGAUGCGAGCGUUAUCCGGAUUUAUUGGGUUUAAAGGGUGCGCAGGCGGGCUGUUAAGUCAGCGGUCAAAGCCCGGGGAUUAACCCCGGGC
rnacentral:rRNA from 1 species